rnacentral:piRNA from 1 species
UUGAAAGAAGAACCCACCAUGUUCUCAGCC